AGAGUUUGAUCCUGGCUCAGGAUGAACGCUGGCGGCGUGCUUAACACAUGCAAGUCGAACGGAAAGGCCCUUGCUUGCAGGGGUACUCGAGUGGCGAACGGGUGAGUAACACGUGGGUGAUCUGCCCUGCACUUCGGGAUAAGCCUGGGAAACUGGGUCUAAUACCGGAUAGGACGAUGGUUUGGAUGCCAUUGUGGAAAGUUUUUCGGUGUGGGACGAGCUCGCGGCCUAUCAGCUUGUUGGUGGGGUAAUGGCCUACCAAGGCGUCGACGGGUAGCCGGCCUGAGAGGGUGUACGGCCACAUUGGGACUGAGAUACGGCCCGGACUCCUACAGGAGGCAGCAGUGGGGAAUAUUGCACAAUGGGCGCAAGCCUGAUGCAGCGACGCCGCGUGGGGGAUGACGGCCUUCGGGUUGUAAACUCCUUUCGUCAGGGACGAAGCGAAAGUGACGGUACCUGGAUAAGAAGCACCGGCUAACUACGUGCCAGCAGCCGCGGUAAUACGUAGGGUGCGAGCGUUGUCCGGAAUUACUGGGCGUAAAGAGCUCGUAGGUGGUUUGUCGCGUCGUUUGUGGAAUACCGCAGCUUAACUGCGGGGUUGCAGGCGAUACGGGCAUAACUUGAGUGCUGUAGGGGAGACUGGAAUUCCUGGUGUAGCGGUGGAAUGCGCAGAUAUCAGGAGGAACACCGAUGGCGAAGGCAGGUCUCUGGGCAGUAACUGACGCUGAGGAGCGAAAGCAUGGGUAGCGAACAGGAUUAGAUACCCUGGUAGUCAAGGGCGAAUUCGUUUAA
rnacentral:rRNA from 1 species